rnacentral:rRNA from 1 species
AACGAACGCUGGCGGCAGGCUUAACACAUGCAAGUCGAACGCAUCCUUCGGGGUGAGUGGCAGACGGGUGAGUAACGCGUGGGAACGUGCCCUUCAGUUCGGGAUAACCCAGGGAAACUUGGGCUACUACCGGAUACGUGCGAGAGCAGAAAGAUUUAUCGCUGAAGGAUCGGCCCGCGUCUGAUUAGCUAGUUGGUGGGGUAAUGGCCCACCAAGGCGACGAUCAGUAGCUGGUCUGAGAGGAUUAUCAGCCACAUUGGGACUGAGACACGGCCCAAACUCCUACGGGGGGCAGCAGUGGGGAAUAUUGGACAAUGGGCGCAAGCCUGAUCCAGCCAUGCCGCGUGAGUGAUGAAGGCCUUAGGGUUGUAAAGCUCUUUCGUCCGGGACGAUAAUGACGGUACCGGAAGAAGAAGCCCCGGCUAACUUCGUGCCAGCCGCCGCGGUAA